UUCCACAAAACUAGGCUGUUCUGUGUUUUCUGUAAGACACACUCUGCAGGGAAGUUUUGGAUCAACCUGUCGGCAGAUCUCCAGUGAGGAGAAUACCCAAUUUGUAGCGGGCACUAGCAAGAAGUCCACACUUAACCUCUGCUGCCCCAAAGCUUUGGUCCAUGUUCUUGGCACAGUGCUCCUCAAAAUGGAAAUACUGCGGACCAUGUAUGAGGGAUGUCUGGCUUGGUGUUGCAGGAGCCAUCUCAGGUGUGAGAUAUAUCUGCCAUAUUUCCUUUGUAUUGAUAAUAACCUGACCCUUCACUCCUAUAAUGAAGGCUACUGAAUCGUUUUCAACCUUGAAAGGGAAUAAAACUCCACAAUGGGAAGAAGAUUUUUCUACAAAGGAUAAGGAAGAUGUUUCAGCAAGUGAACAGAACGUUUAAAAAAAAAAAAAAAAA